AAGCUGGGGCAAAAAAAAAUACACCACAAACAUAGUGGACACAAGGUUAGACGUGACAUAAAUGUGUCCUAGACAGACCCUUCUUUUCUUAGUGAAACAUCAACUUUCCAAAGACAAUAUUCCAAACUGGACAGUUGAUACAUAGAGCUAUUUUACUUUAACAUUUAAAGUGUGGCUGCAAAUCUGGGAUGCAGGAGGUGAAAAUUCAUUGUCUAAUCUGUUUCUCAGUUUCCUCUUUCAGAAACGAGAGAUUUUUCAAGACCUUGCUCCACUGCUGUGGCACUCCUUUGGCACUGUUGCUGCACUGCUCCAGGAGAUUGUGUCAAUUUACCCUUCACUUUCACCUCCUACUUUGUCGCUAGUUGCAUCAAACCGUGUCUGCAAUGCACUUGCACUUCUUCAGUGUGUUGCUUCACACCCUGAGACCAGGAUCCCGUUCUUGAAUGCUCACAUCCCACUGUACCUGUACCCGUUCCUGAAUACUACCAGCAAGACAAGACCUUUUGCGUACUUGAGGCUUACCAGCUUGGGUGUUAUUGGUGCUCUUGUGAAGGUAAAUUAAAACUAGAUACUUAUGCAAACUAGGAAUGGAUGGUCCAUAUAGAUUUUUGCUUUAAAUGGUGAGAGGGUUGAACCAGAGGGGAAAACAGUGAUGGGGAUUGGCUGUAUUCUUUCUUUUUUUUGUAGACUAUAUCUUGUUCUUUUGGUAUUCUCAUUCCAGUAAUCCAGUCAUUUUAAUCAAAUGGACUGGUUGGGAUUGGAUCCCAGGAAUCUCAACAGGAACUGUUAUUUUUGAAGCAAACAGGCUAAUGAUUUGUUAGAAAUUAUAUUGUUUCUUCUUUUGGAUA